UCGAAUGUCACAUCUUUACUAUAUAAUCAGAGUUUUGUACAAAAUAAAUAAAUAAUUACAUUAUAUGGAGACAACGGUCCAGCAACCCAAAGUUGACUGGGAGACGACGACCUAGACCUCUCACGAACACAUCGCAGCAUCCUCCACGCGCCUCAUCCUGUGGUACCUGUUCUUGACCUGUGGGGGGUGUGAGACAGCAAGAGUGAGCUCACAUACGUUCAUCGCUCAACAAGUUGUGGGGAAUAAUGUGAAUGAACUCGCCAAAGGUGGGAGUUCAUGUGAAGUGUAAGGCUUACCAAAGAGGAUGGUUAGAGCUGAGCAUUGCUUUUAAAGUUGGUCAAAAUUUUAUUAGCAAUUACUAAGUAUAAGUAAAUACCAACCCAAUUAAGCAGUAGAACCAAAGUAACAACAUCACCUGCGAUGCAAUGCAUAUGACAAAUUGAAUUUAGUUCCAUAAAUUAAUCAUGUGAGGGUCCGAGCUGCUCAUGACCGUGAGCACGGCUAGUAUACCAGUUUUACACUCUGCAGAGGUUGCGCAUCUUUACCCACAAGUCAUGUUACCCAUCUGCCAAGGGAUCGCGACUUCCCAUACACCUCUACCGAGGAGGCGAGGCAGGGUAACACUACGAGGCCUUUACAAAGUUCCACUAGCUUCAGAAAACCCGCUACAGUUUAUAGGAAGCUCCAAUGCAGGAAUCCCUUGCAGGACCGCCAUCGCAGCAAAAUCCUCCCGAGGGCCUCCCUACACUGACCACUCCCCUACUGCCCUUGCCCCUUUCGGGUAAGGUAGUCCUCCACUAGCUUUCCUAAUUAAUCAGCCAAGGGCGUCCCAUUAUACCCUUGUGGUAGCACUGUUUUCCCGGGUGGUCGCUCCAUGUUCCAAUUAACAUAAUGAUCUUAUCAUGAACAGUAAAUAACAACGGAUAACAAAAGUAUAAUCUUGAAUAAUGUAUCUUCAUACCCAAAACCACAUAAAGCACUAGCAAGUACUACCCAAAAAGUUCAGUGGUAAACAAGGUAUAAAGAUAAUCAAACUAGGGUAACCUAUUGGGUCCCAUCAAAAUUAACCUAUGUAGAUCAUUAUGAUUAAUCAGAACAUGAGUAGGUAAAAAGAAGUGAUCAAGGGCACAACUUGCCUGGGACUUGAGAUUCCAGGUACCAGGAUGAUCUUCGGAUGACACGUGACCUCGCACUAGUCGUAGCAAUACAGACAAACAUGGUGUAGGCAAAAUUAACAUCACACCAAACAUGUAAACAAAAUACAUAAUAAUAAUCUACACAUUAAAAUAAGAUUCUAGGAACAGGAAUCGUUAAUUUUGGAGUUAUAGAUUUUAAGUUAUGGAUUUUAAAAGGUUUUAUGUGUUUAAAAUAAGAUUAAGUGUGGGAUUAAUUUUAUUACUGUGGUUAUGAUAAAACAGAGACACUAAGUGCUAGAGAAUAAAAUUACAAAAUUUUAGGAACUGGAAUGAAGUAAUUUAGAGUUCAUAUGCAUUUUCUAUGAAUUAUUGAAGUUCCAGCAAUUAUUUUCCUAUUAAAAAUCUAUUUUCUAUUUCAUUUAUUCAAUUUAAACGAUUUCUAGACUAGGCCUCAUUUUCCAGAAAACCCAGGGGCUAUUACAGAAGAAUUCCUGAGACUCAGAACCUAGCUAAGUGGACGGCGGGUUCAUUUACAAAAAGAACAGGGGCUCUUUUGCAAUUGAUCGGUCGCGAAGGGGUAUCAGUGGUUUCUGGCCGUUAGAUCACCAACCGAUGGUUAGGAUUAGAUCACUACGGUAAUGAAACGGUACGCAGUGCAGACCAUCAGAUUCUAGAUCGACGCACACGAUUUAAAAUGUGGACCCGAAAUCGUGGCGCGGACGAUCACCAUCCGACGGUUCAACUACGGUCGCGAACCGAUCCCCCAUCCUCUAAUCGUGGCCCUUGCUUUCAGAUCAAGCGACCCAGACACCACCCAUGCCCCCCCGGCGGCGCAGGCCACUACGCCAGACCCACCCCGGCGGCGGCCAUGGCCGGAGUUCGCCAUUAACGCCCACCAGGCUUCAAAGCGUGAUCCGGAUGGCUUAUAUGCGUAGCCCUAUCAACUUCUAACUUGAUUACGACCCUUUCUUCACAGGAUUUCGCACAUAGAGCACCGGCCGCAGCACCUGGCGGCAACACGGCGGCGCCCAUGACCGGAACUCACCACGCCGGCCCCCAACGCUCCAAUUCUUACGCGAACGAGCGAGGUUGAUCGAGCGAAGUCUAGGAAGUUCUCGUACCUUGGAUCGACGAGUCUGGGGACGAGUACCACCGGACCGCGGAGAAAUCGCACCAAUUCACCCAGUCCGGCGAGCAAUUUCCCAAUUCCUAUACGGUUCAUGCGCCGAGCCCAAGUUGACAAAGACAACCACACGCGACGGCGAGUCCCGCGAGCUCACGCCCGAGGACGAGGCAGCGGUGCGGACGGACUUCACCGUUCUCUCUUCUCUCUCAUGUUUCUCUUUGUGUGCUCAGCGAUACGGAUCACGGCGGCCCUCCCUUUCUUCGCAUACUCAGCUCACCGCACCCCCAAUACGCGGCUGCAACGGCGUAAUAAGUCACGAUCCUAUUUAUAGUUGAGGGCGGAGUCACUAUGACCGAUCCCCGCGCUGAGAAGGUCGGUUGCGAAGGAUUCGGGCAGAGCCUAGACGUCUGGUCGCGAGAUUCCUGGCCAUGCAUAAUUGUGCAGGCACCGGACCUGUAGGGAUAAGGAGAGCGCAGGAGAUUAAGCCGCCGGGGUCCCAUGUGUCAGCAUGGUUGAGCAAAGACGCUAGCGCGUGCGGAAGCACAUGAGGCUGCGAUACAACUGUUGGUUAAUUUGCAUGCUUAUGUCAUGCUGAUGAUAUGGUGACACAGGUUCUGGCAAAUGAAUAAAGAAAAGGGAUUUUGGAGGGGGUGGCCGACGGAAUGGGAUGAGGUGAUGGGCUGAGCAAUUUUGGCCCAUACACAAUUAUGCUCUUUCUUUUUUUUUAAUUUUCUAUUUCGUUUUUUUUGGAUUACUAUAUUCAAAUAUGAUAUGAAUUUCAAGUCUGAGAUUAGAUUUUAAAUAAAACUAGAUACACAUUCAAAAACCAGCAUGAUGCACAAUUUAAUGGCAUGACUUUUAUUAAUCCUUUGUUUUUAAAUGUGGUGUUCACAUGAGAUGGUGAAUAGAGAUGGCACAUAUAAAAAAAUAAUAUAAUUUCCCUUUUUAGACUUUUCUUACAAAGUGGGUAUUACAAAUCCUACCCCCCUUAAAAAUAAUCUCAUCCUCGAGAUUUGUAAGAGGAUGUAGAAGAAAUUGUUUGUUGUCUAUGGGUUAGUUUCUAAUUGAUUUUAAUACCAAAACUCUUCUCUUUUUUUAUCGCAAAUUAUCAGGUGAUUAGAAAAGGCAUGGGUAUAUGGGUAUAGCCACUUUAUUAUGCAGGAUAAAAGAUAUCUUUAAAGCAUUUAUAGGUUUGGGUAAGAAAGAGUAGGAUAAGAAAAGACUCCAUCCAAGAUUGUGGCUCUUGAUUCUUUUGAAGAUCUGGCUUGAAUCUUAUCCUUCCAUGCUUGAUUUGAUGUUGAUCUUUUCUUCUCCAGUCUUGGUCUUACUGAUUCGACAUUAGUGUAUAUUAUCGGAGUGGGUAGUAUGGUUAAGGUAGAUAUAGGUGAGAUAGACUACAUGAUGUUGGUCAAAACUUGUUUGAUGUUAGGUGGGGUAGACAGAUUAUGCAAUCCACCAUGACACUAUUGGUUGGGUUAGCUCUCAUGCUCACGGUUGAGUUGGUCUAAUGCACUAAUUUAGGUUUAAGUGCAUAAGGGGAGAACAAUGUUCAUAGGAGUAGAAUCCAGUUUAUUUCUCUAGUGUUAACUUGUUAAGUUACUGUCCUUAGGUUAGCUCAACUUAAGGUUAGACUUCGUUAGGUUAGAUUAACCUAUUAGAUUGGAUCAGAUCUAGAAUAAUUGAUAUGACUAUUUUAGAAUAGAUAAGAUCUAAAUAAAUUCUUUGGAUUAGCUCACGGUUGUUACUUUAGGAUGAGAUAAGUAAGGUGAUUAGGAUAAGAUGAAUCUUUCAAGAUAAGAUGAAUCUAUUAAGAUAAGAGAGAAUCUUUUAAGAUAAGAUGGAUAUUGUUAGGCUAGAUACUUUAAUGAGGGAUAAUCUAGUUUGUCUAGUUAUUUUAGGAAUUUUAUUUAUUUAUAUUUAUGCCUAUAUGUAUAUGCAAAUGUAAUUGUGGACAUUACUCCACAACUCAUCACACUCAAUCAAAAAUCCCAAUCAAACAUGUAUCAUAAGAACAAGCAUUCAAACACAUAGAUACCUAUAAAAAUAGUUUUGUUUUUGUUCCUAAGAUUAGGUCUCCUAUUCCUAAAGUCACCUUAGUUACAGGAUUUCAAAGUGUGAAAUCCAAGUUUGUCUUUAGAAGGAAAAGGUAAGGAUAAUCAGAGUAAAGCGGAAAUAGAUGAGAAAAGAUUAAGAUAAGUUUAGAAAAGAACCAGAGUAGGGUAAGUAGAUAAUGGUUGUCCAGUUCUAUCUAGGUUUCGUCCUACAGUCAACAUUCCUCUGAUACCACUUCUGUCACACCCGGAUUUUAGGGAUCCAAAGCCCGGGCGCGAACAUAAUCACCAGGUGUGCUGGGACCAAGUCUCACACAUAUGAUGAAUCAUGGCACAGGAUCGAAUGUCACAUCUUUACUAUAUAAUCAGAGUUUUGUACAAAAUAAAUAAAUAAUUACAUUAUAUGGAGACAACGGUCCAGCAACCCAAAGUUGACUGGGAGACGACGACCUAGACCUCUCACGAACACAUCGCAGCAUCCUCCACGCGCCUCAUCCUGUGGUACCUGUUCUUGACCUGUGGGGGGGGUGUGAGACAGCAAGAGUGAGCUCACAUACGUUCAUCGCUCAACAAGUUGUGGGGAAUAAUGUGAAUGAACUCGCCAAAGGUGGGAGUUCAUGUGAAGUGUAAGGCUUACCAAAGAGGAUGGUUAGAGCUGAGCAUUGCUUUUAAAGUUGGUCAAAAUUUUAUUAGCAAUUACUAAGUAUAAGUAAAUACCAACCCAAUUAAGCAGUAGAACCAAAGUAACAACAUCACCUGCGAUGCAAUGCAUAUGACAAAUUGAAUUUAGUUCCAUAAAUUAAUCAUGUGAGGGUCCGAGCUGCUCAUGACCGUGAGCACGGCUAGUAUACCAGUUUUACACUCUGCAGAGGUUGCGCAUCUUUACCCACAAGUCAUGUUACCCAUCUGCCAAGGGAUCGCGACUUCCCAUACACCUCUACCGAGGAGGCGAGGCAGGGUAACACUACGAGGCCUUUACAAAGUUCCACUAGCUUCAGAAAACCCGCUACAGUUUAUAGGAAGCUCCAAUGCAGGAAUCCCUUGCAGGACCGCCAUCGCAGCAAAAUCCUCCCGAGGGCCUCCCUACACUGACCACUCCCCUACUGCCCUUGCCCCUUUCGGGUAAGGUAGUCCUCCACUAGCUUUCCUAAUUAAUCAGCCAAGGGCGUCCCAUUAUACCCUUGUGGUAGCACUGUUUUCCCGGGUGGUCGCUCCAUGUUCCAAUUAACAUAAUGAUCUUAUCAUGAACAGUAAAUAACAACGGAUAACAAAAGUAUAAUCUUGAAUAAUGUAUCUUCAUACCCAAAACCACAUAAAGCACUAGCAAGUACUACCCAAAAAGUUCAGUGGUAAACAAGGUAUAAAGAUAAUCAAACUAGGGUAACCUAUUGGGUCCCAUCAAAAUUAACCUAUGCAGAUCAUUAUGAUUAAUCAGAACAUGAGUAGGUAAAAAGAAGUGAUCAAGGGCACAACUUGCCUGGGACUUGAGAUUCCAGGUACCAGGAUGAUCUUCGGAUGACACGUGACCUCGCACUAGUCGUAGCAAUACAGACAAACAUGGUGUAGGCAAAAUUAACAUCACACCAAACAUGUAAACAAAAUACAUAAUAAUAAUCUACACAUUAAAAUAAGAUUCUAGGAACAGGAAUCGUUAAUUUUGGAGUUAUAGAUUUUAAGUUAUGGAUUUUAAAAGGUUUUAUGUGUUUAAAAUAAGAUUAAGUGUGGGAUUAAUUUUAUUACUGUGGUUAUGAUAAAACAGAGACACUAAGUGCUAGAGAAUAAAAUUACAAAAUUUUAGGAACUGGAAUGAAGUAAUUUAGAGUUCAUAUGCAUUUUCUAUGAAUUAUUGAAGUUCCAGCAAUUAUUUUCCUAUUAAAAAUCUAUUUUCUAUUUCAUUUAUUCAAUUUAAACGAUUUCUAGACUAGGCCUCAUUUUCCAGAAAACCCAGGGGCUAUUACAGAAGAAUUCCUGAGACUCAGAACCUAGCUAAGUGGACGGCGGGUUCAUUUACAAAAAGAACAGGGGCUCUUUUGCAAUUGAUCGGUCGCGAAGGGGUAUCAGUGGUUUCUGGCCGUUAGAUCACCAACCGAUGGUUAGGAUUAGAUCACUACGGUAAUGAAACGGUACGCAGUGCAGACCAUCAGAUUCUAGAUCGACGCACACGAUUUAAAAUGUGGACCCGAAAUCGUGGCGCGGACGAUCACCAUCCGACGGUUCAACUACGGUCGCGAACCGAUCCCCCCAUCCUCUAAUCGUGGCCCUUGCUUUCAGAUCAAGCGACCCAGACACCACCCAUGCCCCCCCGGCGGCGCAGGCCACUACGCCAGACCCACCCCGGCGGCGGCCAUGGCCGGAGUUCGCCAUUAACGCCCACCAGGCUUCAAAGCGUGAUCCGGAUGGCUUAUAUGCGUAGCCCUAUCAACUUCUAACUUGAUUACGACCCUUUCUUCACAGGAUUUCGCACAUAGAGCACCGGCCGCAGCACCUGGCGGCAACACGGCGGCGCCCAUGACCGGAACUCACCACGCCGGCCCCCAACGCUCCAAUUCUUACGCGAACGAGCGAGGUUGAUCGAGCGAAGUCUAGGAAGUUCUCGUACCUUGGAUCGACGAGUCUGGGGACGAGUACCACCGGACCGCGGAGAAAUCGCACCAAUUCACCCAGUCCGGCGAACAAUUUCCCAAUUCCUAUACGGUUCAUGCGCCGAGCCCAAGUUGACGAAGACAACCACACGCGACGGCGAGUCCCGCGAGCUCACGCCCGAGGACGAGGCAGCGGUGCGGACGGACUUCACCGUUCUCUCUUCUCUCUCAUGUUUCUCUUUGUGUGCUCAGCGAUACGGAUCACGGCGGCCCUCCCUUUCUUCGCAUACUCAGCUCACCGCACCCCCAAUACGCGGCUGCAACGGCGUAAUAAGUCACGAUCCUAUUUAUAGUUGAGGGCGGAGUCACUAUGACCGAUCCCCGCGCUGAGAAGGUCGGUUGCGAAGGAUCCGGGCAGAGCCUAGACGUCUGGUCGCGAGAUUCCUGGCCAUGCAUAAUUGUGCAGGCACCGGACCUGUAGGGAUAAGGAGAGCGCAGGAGAUUAAGCCGCCGGGGUCCCAUGUGUCAGCAUGGUUGAGCAAAGACGCUAGCGCGUGCGGAAGCACAUGAGGCUGCGAUACAACUGUUGGUUAAUUUGCAUGCUUAUGUCAUGCUGAUGAUAUGGUGACACAGGUUCUGGCAAAUGAAUAAAGAAAAGGGAUUUUGGAGGGGGUGGCCGACGGAAUGGGAUGAGGUGAUGGGCUGAGCAAUUUUGGCCCAUACACAAUUAUGCUCUUUCUUU
rnacentral:lncRNA from 1 species